rnacentral:rRNA from 1 species
AUGCUUAACACAUGCAAGUCGAACGGAAACGAUGGUAGCUUGCUACCAGGCGUCGAGCGGCGGACGGGUGAGUAACGCGUGGGAAUCUGCCCAUUUGUGGGGGAUAACUCGGGGAAACUCGAGCUAAUACCGCAUAAUCCCUACGGGGGAAAGCAGGGGACCUUCGGGCCUUGUGCAGAUGGAUGAGCUCGCGUCGGAUUAGCUUGUUGGUGAGGUAAAGGCUCACCAAGGCGACGAUCCGUAGCUGGUCUGAGAGGAUGAUCAGCCACACCGGGACUGAGACACGGCCCGGACACCUACGGGUGGCAGCAGUUUCGAAUCAUUCACAAUGGGCGAAAGCCUGAUGGUGCAAUGCCGCGUGGAGGAUGAAGGCCCUAGGGUCGUAAACUCCUGUCAUUGGGGAACAACAAGCAGGUUCAUAGCCUGCCCUGAGUUAACCCAAAGAGGAAGAGGUGGCUAACUCCGUGCCAGCAGCCGCGGUAAUACGGAGACCUCGAGCGUUACUCGGAUUUACUGGGCGUAAAGGGUGAGUAGGCGGCUAGAUAUGUCAGGUGUGAAAUCCCGGGGCUCAACCUCGGAACUGCGCCUGAAACUAUUUAGCUAGAGUCUCGGAGAGGAUAGUGGAAUUCCAGGUGUAGCGGUGAAAUGCGUAGAUAUCUGAAGGAACACCAGUGG